CAAGUAACCUAGGAAUGUAUCAAAAUAUACAUUUUCGCCUAAAACUUACUUUCGGUUGGGGCAACCAUGAAGAAAAAAAGAACCUUCACAAGGAACGGAAAACUCCCAAAACACGAACGACAGUUCUAACUAACAGAAUUUUGUGACCAUCAAGACCCAGCACUAGCCGAUUAAUGAACCAAGUUACCCC
rnacentral:rRNA from 1 species